AUGUCGCUGGGGGCGGUGUUCCACGGCGCGCAGCUGAUGCUGGAUCUGGCGGUGGCCGGGAUGUCGCUGAUGUUCGCGCUCGGCCUCUUCGCCGUCGUCACCACCGUGCUCUGCUCCGCCGCCUUCCUCCACCACUCCAAGCCCGUCGCGUCGUAG
rnacentral:rRNA from 1 species